CUGGCUGGGCACGAACGUAGAGGUCAGGCUAGGGCUGACGAUGCUGGCUAAGCGGGGGCGCACGUCUAGGAAGUCGUCGUCGUAGUCACCGAUGUCCGUGACCUUCCAGAGGUAAUCCACCCGCCUUGGCCUCCCAAAGUGCUGGGAUUACAGGUGUGAGCCACCAUGCCCAGCCAGAAACUGCCACUUUGAAACCAUCAGAUCUCAUUGAGAACUCCCUCACUAUCACGAGAACCGCAUGAGGGAAACUACCCCCAUGAUCUGAUCACCUCCCACCAGGUCCUGCCCUCAACAUGUGGGGAUUACAAUUCAAGAUGAGAUUUGGGUCAGGAAACAGAGCCAAACCAUAUCAAGAGCCUCUGGUAACCACUGUUCUACUCAAUACUUCUAUGAGGUGAACUUCUUUGGAUUCCACAUAUGAUCAGGAUCAUGAGGAAGGAGGAGCAAGUCUUCUUUGUCAUGCUAUUAAGAAAAUACCCAGAGUCACAGCACCAUGAUCUCCUUGUGAAGCAGAACAAGUAAUAUAAAACUGAUCUAAAGAGGCCUCCCGUCUACUCUUAACUGUCUGGUCGAGUCAUUUGGGUCCAAGUGGGCACCAUUGUGGGAGGGUGGGAGGACUAAUCACUGGGGGCCCAGGCAUCAUUGGCAUGUGGCCUCCUGUGUUAGUUUGUUCUCAUGCUGCAAAUAAAGACAACUUGAGACUGGAUAAUUUAUAAAGGAAAGAGGUUUAAUGGACUCACAGUUCCACAUGGCUAAGGAGGCCUCACAAUCAUGGCGGAAGACAAAGGAAGAGCAAAGGGACAUCUUACAUGGCAGCAGGCAAGAGAGCAUGUGCAGGGGAAGUCCCCUUUAUAAAACCAUCAGAUCUCAUGAGACUUAUUCACUAUCACAAGAACAGCAUGAGAAAAACCCACCCCCAUGAUUCAAUUACCUCCCACCUUGUCCCUCCCAUGUCAUGUGAAGAUUAUUACAACUCAAGGUGAGAUCUGAGUGGGGACACAGAGCCAAAUGAUAUCACCUCCAAUGGGCAGCCUCAUUCCAGGAGCACAUCCCAUUGGCAUCAUCCAGGAGAGGAGGGGGGGCCAUCAUUGGCAUCAUGGGAGGGCCCCCCAGCUGGGGUGCUGGCAUCAUACCUGGUGAGGAACAGGAAGAGACUGGGGGGAGGUUGGAUCAUCGCUCCUGCAGGAGGAGGAACAGAGAACAGAGUAGGAGGUGUUCUUCCUUGUUGAGAUGCAGUCUUUGUUCUGUCAGCCAGGCUCCGAGCCUGCUCUUCUAUCCAUUUCUGGUAGUAGUCUUUCACAUUCUCUUUGUGUUUCCUUCCACUGCAAUGGUAGGUUCUCACAGAUGGAGAGUCAUGGGUGAGGUAUGUAUUGCAGAAGUCACAACAAAACUUAGGCAUGUUGCUCUGUAGCCCGUUAACCACUCUCUUCCCUGAUUUUGCUUUGUUUUGAUGUGACAUUGAAGCACUGCACAUGCGCAGAGCAGCUAAUAGUUCUUCCCUCUUUGGAUUGUUGGAUGAAAUUUUUUUGAAUUUUAUUUUUUAUUGAUACAUAAUAGAUAUAUGUGUUUUGGGGGUAUAUAUGAUAAUUUAAUAUAUUUAUCUAACUUGUUAAAAACAAAUCAGUGUAAUUGGGACAGCCACCACCUUAAAUACUUGUCCUUCCUUUUUGCUGGAAACAUUUGAAUUAUUCUCUUAGCUAUUUUGAAAUAUACAAUAGGUUAUUCUAAACUAUAAUCACCCUAGUGAUCUAUGAAACACUACGUCUUAUUUCUUCUAUUGGGUUAAAUGAUUUAAUACCUGCAAUGCUCUUAGCAUUGUGCCUGGCACAUGAUAAAUAAAUAUUAGCUGUCGU